ensembl:lncRNA
AAAAAAUCUUAAAUCUGCUUAGCCUCUUUGGCUUGGAUGGGUGAUAAAGGCACUGCCUUCUUUUUCUUCUUCAUUUUUUUUCUCUCCCAGUUUUAAUUAAACCAAGUCAGUAGCUGCCGACGCAGCGAACCGCCAAAGUCCAAAGUGGCAUCCUGAACAUGCCGAUAUACACUGCCUUUAAUCUCGUCUCGGGCAGAACCCAUCCACUCGUUCGAAUAAACGAUUCGUUCGCAGGAGCCGAACCUAUGCAAGAACACUCACGCACGCGAGUCAGCGUCAGCAAAGUCAUUACGUUCAGUAAAGAAAGAAGAGUGUCGUGGUGGUAGUGUCCAUGCGUCCGAGUCACUCUUCUCCGAUCUGUCGCCUCACUGAUGCUGAAUAUAGUAUAAUAUCAAAUCUUAUAGAUAAUAUCUCGUGAUCCUGUGUCAGAAAAGCCACUUUAGAAACAAGAAGUUGGUGAUUUCUUUCUUUCUUUCUUUCUUUUUAAAUAAGAAGAAUAAUAAUAAGAGGAAGUGGUGCCGUGACCCUUUAAAAAUCGGCUAGCUAUUUAUGUCAAAUUCCUCAUCGGAUGGCGUGGUUCGUCCUCUGAGAACUGAUUAAAGAUUCUUGCGGUGCUAAUCGGUCCAGACGGUCACGCGGCAACGUUAUUUGUUUUGUGAAACCAGCAAGGCUAGUAUCCCCGUAGCAUUAGCUACAAGUGCCAUCAGUAUCGCAGCGCAUCAGCUUUCGCACCAGAUUUUAUUUUUAAACGUAUGUCAUUCUUAUUGCUAAUAUUUUUUUGCGUCGUUAUAUUCAUUUAUUAUCUGUAAACAUAAUAGUGAAGUACAUUAUCAGAUAACCUAGUAAUACGUAGGAGUAUGAAGCUGCGCUGCGCUUUUUUUCACUGCCGCUACCGCAGUAGUUGGGAGGUAACCGGUGGGUGGCUUGGUAGUGCGCAAGUGUAUUGGUAUGUAUCUGUGCGAGCGUGUGUGUGUGUGUGUGUGUGUGGUGUGCGUUCUCCUUUCAAUAUAAUAGCAUUGCCAGUAUUUCACUUCUUCUGGGAAGAUUUUCAUUGGGUGCCUUGUGGCUACAAACGUUUGCUCAUUUAGAACGCCUCAUUGUGGUUCAUGUAAAGUGUGGUAGUUAAUACGGGACCCCUAUGUGUCAUUGAUUUGAUUUUCCGAUUAAAAGGACCAUAUUUAUAGUAUUUCCUUUCGGCGCGAGAUCGUAAGAUUGUUAGUCCCUUGUGUGGUUAUACCAAACCAUAAGACAAUAUCCUGAUCUGAUCCCUACCUUUAACCUUUAACCCUAACCUACAGGUGAUCUCUCCCAUCACCCUGACUCACACAUAGCACUCUCAGCACCAUCACUUACCUCAGACUUGCUCAGCAGCGCACCCUACUGUCUGUCAGUACUAACAUUCCAGUUCAGACGUUUUUCCACGGGCCCAGAAUGCCUUGUUGGCCUGCCCCUCUCCGGGCUGUUUUCUCUUUGUACACGUGCAUGCUUUUUAUAGAUAUAUUGAUCAUUAUAUCUUCAUAUCCAUAUCCAUCCGUCGGUAAUGUCUCCCUCUCCCUGUAGUUGAAAGCCCUAUAUCAUCCAUAAUGUCCGUGCGAUUGAUGUAUUGAUCAUAGCGUCUAGGAGCAUGAGGAUUGAAAGCGUGAUAGUGUAGAUGAGGUCACUUCCUGCGUUGGAGCAAAGCUCUCAUCUACUUUAAUGCUCCAUUUUCUUCCUCGAAGGACAGACCCAUCUUAGGUUUCUUUUUCUUUUUUUUUUUUCUUCGGUGUGUGUGCUCCCACUGCCACGACUCUGUGCGCUUUCUCAGCUGUCAAGGUCUGCUUUCUUACCGACUUGAAAGUGCUGUAGAACGAAUUUUAAAACGAGAUAUUAAAAAUGUGACGUGCUUUAAGG